GAAAAGAAACCAACAGGGAUUGCCCCAGUAACGGCGAGUGAAGCGGCAACAGCUCAAAUUUGAAAUCUGGCCUUCGGGUCCGAGUUGUAAUUUGGAGAGGAUGCUUCUGGCGCGGCGCCGUCCGAGUUCCUUGGAACAGGACGCCAUAGAGGGUGAGAGCCCCGUACGGGCGGCCGCCUAGCCUUUGUGAAGCUCCUUCGACGAGUCGAGUAGUUUGGGAAUGCUGCUCAAAAUGGGAGGUAAAUUUCUUCUAAAGCUAAAUAUUGGCCAGAGACCGAUAGCGCACAAGUAGAGUGAUCGAAAGAUGAAAAGCACUUUGAAAAGAGGGUUAAAAAGUACGUGAAAUUGUUGAAAGGGAAGCGCCUGUGACCAGACUUGCGACCCGCGGAUCAUCCGGUGUUCUUCACCGGUGCACUCCGCGGGCUGCAGGCCAGCAUCGGUUUUCCUAGGGGGAUAAAGGUCGCGGGAACGUAGCUCUUUCGGGAGUGUUAUAGCCCGUGGCGUCAUGCCUCUGGGGGGACCGAGGACCGCGCUUCGGCAAGGAUGCUGGCGUAAUGG
rnacentral:rRNA from 1 species